ACUGCUCAGUAACACGUGGAUAACCUGCCCAAGGGUCUGGGAUAACCCCGGGAAACUGGGGAUAAUACCGGAUAGAUCACCUAUGCUGGAAGGGCUUGGUGGUUUAAAGGUAACGCCUUUGGAUGGGUCUGCGGCGGAUUAGGUUGACGCCGGUGUAAUGUACCGGCGUGCCUGUAAUCCGUACGGGUUGUGGGAGCAAGAGCCCGGAGAUGGAUUCUGAGACACGAAUCCAGGCCCUACGGGGCGCAGCAGGCGCGAAAACUCUACAAUGCAGGAGACUGCGAUAGGGGGACAUCGAGUGGCAUCCACCUUGGGUGCCUGUCCAACCGUCUAAAAAACGGUUGUUAGCAAGGGCCGGGUAAGACCGGUGCCAGCCGCCGCGGUAAUACCGGCGGCUCGAGUGGUGGCCGAUAUUAUUGAGUCUAAAGGGUCCGUAGCCGGCUUUGCAAGUCCCCUGGGAAAUCCAGCGGCUUAACCGUUGGGCUUUCAUGGGAUACUACAUUGCUUGGGACUGGGAGAGGUAGGAGGUACUCGGGGGGUAGGGGUGAAAUCCUGUAAUCCUCCGGGGACCACCGGUGGCGAAGGCGUCCUACCAGAACAGGUCCGACGGUGAGGGACGAAAGCUAGGGGCACGAACCGGAUUAGAUACCCGGGUAGUCCUAGCCGUAAACGAUGCCCGCUAGGUGUCACGACAGUCGUGAAUUGUCGUGGUGCCGUAGGGAAGCCGCGAAGCGGGCCACUUGGGAAGUACGACCGCAAGGUUGGAACUUAAAGGAAUUGGCGGGGGAGCAC
rnacentral:rRNA from 1 species